rnacentral:misc_RNA from 1 species
UUAAGUUCAGCGGGUAUUCCUACCUGAUCCGAGGUCAACAUUCAGAAUUUUGGGGGUUUUACGGCAGGAACCCGCCACACUUCCAAAGCGAGAGAGAUUACUACGCUCGGAGUUAUAGCGAGCCCGCCACUGAAUUUCAGGGCCUGCAGCCGGAGCUGCAGACGCCCCAACACCAAGCAGGGCUUGAGGGUUGAAAUGAC